rnacentral:ncRNA from 1 species
ACAACAAGCGAACGGAGACAAAUUCCUGUAGGAAAAGCUGAAGAGCUAUCCGUUUCGCUGGCC